rnacentral:rRNA from 1 species
GACGAACGCUGGCGGCGUGCUUAACACAUGCAAGUCGAACGGAAAGGCCCUGCUUUUGUGGGGUGCUCGAGUGGCGAACGGGUGAGUAACACGUGAGUAACCUGCCCUUGACUUUGGGAUAACUUCAGGAAACUGGGGCUAAUACCGGAUAGGAGCUCCUGCUGCAUGGUGGGGGUUGGAAAGUUUCGGCGGUCGGGGAUGGACUCGCGGCUUAUCAGCUUGUUGGUGGGGUAGUGGCUUACCAAGGCUUUGACGGGUAGCCGGCCUGGGAGGGUGACCGGCCACAUUGGGAAUGGGGUAAGGGCCAGACUGCAACGGGGGGCAAGAGGGGGGAGAAUUGCACAAAGGGCGGAAGCCUGAUGCAGCAACGUCGCGUGCGGGAUGACGGCCUUCGGGUUGUAAACCGCUUUCGCCUGUGACGAAGCGUGAGUGACGGUAAUGGGUAAAGAAGCACCGGCUAACUACGUG